CAGUUAUUACAUUGUUAUCCGGAUUUCCAAGCACGGUAGCAGCACGUGGAGUGUAAUCCUCAGUCCCUUCCUCGGCGCGGGUGCGCGUGUGCGACGCCGCUCGAACGCAACGAUUUUCCUUUUUGAACUCUUAAGUUGAUUCAUUUCGAAGAAACAGAUCCAUGGCACAGUGAUUCUAGUUCAGAAACAACUGCUACAGCCGACAUUCUAGAUUCCCCAUCUGAUGUAUGUAUAACUGGAAAUUGAUGUUUAGAAUGCAACAAUCAAAGGCUUUACACACUCGAAUUAUAACUGCAUAAGAUGAGUGAUGUGAUAUUUCCAAUUGAUGAUGCUUCGGCAGGGCCAACAUUCCCUGAUAAGGGAAGAGCCAGGAUUCAAGUUUAGGAGCCAGGCCACACUUUUCCAGAGAAGAAUUAAUGGAGGCUCAACUUACGGUGAAAGAAUGAACACGUCAAUCGCGGGUUAAUUUUCUGCCUCCGUCUGCACGGAAUAUGUACAUCUGGCAAUGAGGGGGAAAAGUCCAGUUGCCUUUGAUUGUUUCCGUUCGAUCACACAAGGAGCUAUAGAUGUUUAGUUAUCUCCGUUGAUAGAAGAACUGCUAGGAUGUAACCUUGUGUAAUUCGGAGGCUUCAAGUGUAAUCGCAAGAAGCCAGAAUACGGCCUUUGCAAUAUUUAUCCUGAUUUGAUCUACCAUGGUCUCAUUUUGACUGGUGCGCGAAAUAGCUACUUCUGUAAGGUGUACCUGGAUGGGGUUUGGGAUGAUGCUUACUGUACCAGCUGCCUCUGAAUAUGGUCCUGGAUAUGAUCUUUGACAGUCACUUUCCCUUAUUAUCCUUUGCUAUCAUCUCAGUCCCCGCCAAACUUACCUCGGAAAACAAAGUACAAAGCUGCCUUUCUCAGCUAAGGGUACAGUCGACUUGGGAUAUCUCUAAUGAAAGGAAUAAUGAGCACAUGCUGAUGAUCUAACAUUGUCUGCCGUCUAUUAUUUUUGCCGGUGGGCCGAUUCGAUCCAGCGUGACGUGUUUGCUCUCGAUUGCCAUCGCGAAGUUGGCCAGCGCUACGCGACACGAAAAAAGUUGUUACUUGUUAGCGUAGUCCGCUGUCGUUGCCCCUGUUGCUUGAUCCUUUGAUUCAGGGACCAGAAAUUCGGCAUCACUUUAGCCGCGCUAUUCAUCUAUUAAUCUCUGUAUAACCUUUUGGCUUAUGUUAUUAGAGGAAAUAUAUAUGUACCAGGGUUUUUGGUUCUCAGAAAAAAGAUGAAACCUAUAAGUAUGUACAUAAAUGUUACAUAUAUAUAUAUAUAUAGAAAUAUGCUACUAUACUA